rnacentral:misc_RNA from 1 species
GCCAUCUAAAGUCGGACUUUGGUUUUAGUCGAUUUUUUCAUUUUGUAUCGGGCGGAUUUCGACAGUGGCGUAGACUUCGUUUUUGGCAAUUGUUUGUCGUCGUCCGAUGGAAACCGGGAAAGAAUAGUUUUUCGGAUGCGCCUUUCGACCGGUCCAGCCAAUUGGCCUUUUCUCCAGCUUUGUUUUAGAAAAUCAAUGUAGGAUGUAUCACCAGUCAUCUUUAUCACAUCCACCACCACCACCUCCAACACUUCCACCUUUACCAACUAAUAAUAAUUCAGUUUCUAAAGGAAAAGCUAUUACACCAGAUAGAAAUGCUCUAUUAUCUCAAAUUAGAGGUGGAAAAACAUUGAAAAAAACAGUUACAAAUGAUCGAAGUGCUCCUCAAAUAAAGAAUGCCAAAUCAUCUGAAGAAACUAAAACUACAAAUAAUAAGGUUUCAUUACAAAAUGAUCUUUUAGGUCUUGGAUCAGUAUUUGCUCAAGGGAAACCAAAACUUCGACCUUCUUUUAAAUCAGAUAAAUCAAGUGCAGAAAAUACAGAAAUGAAACAAGACAAGAUGUUACAUCCAAUUCCUAAUUUAUCAAAAAAUGCUUCUUCAUUGUCUUCUAAUAAAUUUCAAGCUGGUAAAUUAAAUGUAAAUGGUUCAUAUCAAACAAAUAAAUGUAACACGAUAAAUUAUCCUGUAAAAGUAACAAAACCUACACCACCACCAGCAAGUUUAAAACCAAGUUUUAAUGUAACUUCUACAUCCGAAAUUUCUGAAAUCAACAAAACUACAAGUAAAUCUACAAGCAAUAUUAAACCAUUACCACCACCUAAAGUUUUGGAAAAUCCGUCAUUGAAAUUUGCUACUAUGCAUCAGCAAGUAAGUAAAAUAGACAAAAUACAUCUUGGUGUUGCUUCUCCAAAAUUGCCUGUUCGUAAUCAUAGUUCACCAGAUAAUUUAAAUGAAUUAGUAAAAUCAAGUUUAUCUACAAAUAAUGCUAUAAAUAUAUCAUCUGUGAAAAGAUCAACUUCUGUAGGAUCAAGACAACAGUCUCAAAUUAAAGCUCCAAAUUAUCGACCUCCACCACCUCCACCACCUGCUAAGACUUCUCCAUCUGUAAUUUCUUCUGUGCCACCACCUGCUAAGAUGUCUCCAUGUUUAAUUUCUUCUGUGCCACCACCUAUACCUAAACGUUCAGUUGCAACACUUUCUAAUUUGAAUCCAGCUGUUGUAAAUAAUAAUCCGCCACCUCCACCGCCACUACGUACCACAUCAAAGAAUUAUAUAACAGGACAUGUUGUAGUGAAGAUUAGGUAAAUUGGCAGAGUAGGACUGGAAGCUAAUUGAGAAAGAGGAGACUGUCCCCAAAAAGAAAGUUAAGUGAUAAAUAGAUUUUGAAACCCGUUUUAAUACCAACUUUCACAAGAUACAAGAAUUUCCUCUUCCUCAAUAUCAACAGACUUUUUGUAAAUUAUAUAUAAGUCAAG